GCAAAGGUAGCAUAAUCAUUUGCCCUUUAAUUGGGGGCUUGUAUGAACGGACUAACUUUAUCUAACUGUCUCAAAUGCACCUAUGGAAAUUUAUCUCUAAGUGAAGAAGCUUAGAUUCCUAUGAAGGACCAAAAGACCCUAUAGAGCUUAACAAUAAAUUUAGAGUUACUCCUAUACACUUGUUUCAUUGGGGCGAUGACAGAAAAUAUUCUUCUGAUCUUUAUCUUAUAACAAAUUAAACUUUAACCCUUGAACUAAGACCAAGGAAAAGCUACCUUAGGGAUAACAGUCUAAUUCUCCUUAAUAGCCCACAUAAACAGGAGAGUUUGGCAC
rnacentral:rRNA from 1 species